AAUGAACGCUGGCGGCGCGCCUAAUACAUGCAAGUCGAGCGAGAAGACGUAGCAAUACGUUUGUAAAGCGGCGAACGGGUGAGGAAUACAUGGGUAACCUACCCUCGAGUGGGGAAUAACUAGCCGAAAGGUUAGCUAAUACCGCGUACGCUUCUUGGACUUCGGUUCAGGGAGGAAAGCGAUACCGUGGGUAUCGCGCUCUUGGAUGGGCUCAUGUCCUAUCAGCUUGUUGGUGAGGUAACGGCUCACCAAGGCUUCGACGGGUAGCUGGUCUGAGAGGACGAUCAGCCACACUGGCACUGCGACACGGGCCAGACUCCUACGGGAGGCAGCAGUAAGGAAUAUUGCGCAAUGGGCGAAAGCCUGACGCAGCGACGCCGCGUGGGGGAUGAAGGUCUUCGGAUUGU
rnacentral:rRNA from 1 species